rnacentral:rRNA from 1 species
UCAUCGGCCUCAGAUUGGUAGGACUACCCGCUGAACUUAAGCAUAUCAAUAAGCGGAGGAAAAGAAACUAACAAGGAUUCCCCUAGUAACGGCGAGUGAAGAGGGAAGAGCCCAAGAUUGAAAGCUGGCGCCUUCGGCGUCCGCAUUGUAAUCUCAAGAAGUGUUUUCCGCUUCGGACCAUGCCUAAGUCCCUUGGAAAAGGGCAUCAUAGAGGGUGAUAAUCCCGUACAUGGCAUGGAGCGCCCGAAGCUUUGUGAUACGCUUUCUAAGAGUCGAGUUGUUUGGGAAUGCAGCUCAAAAUGGGUGGUAAAUGCCAUCUAAGGCUAAAUAUUGGGGAGAGACCGAUAGCGAACAAGUACAGUGAUGGAAAGAUGAAAAGAACUUUGAAAAGAGAGUUAAACAGUACGUGAAAUUGCCAAAAGGGAAGGGUAGGAGGUCAGAGAUGCGUUCUAGGAUUCAGCCUUGCUUUUGCAUGGUGUUUUUUCUAGUUUGCAGGCCAACGUCGGUUUUGGGCACUGGAGAAGGGUGGAAGGAAUGUGGCACCUCUCGGGGUGUGUUAUAGCCUUCUACUGGAUACAGCGACCGAGACCGAGGACAGCAGCGUACUCGCAAGAGCGGGCCUUCGGGCACCUUUACGCUUAGGGC